rnacentral:rRNA from 1 species
UACCAUAACUUAGCAAAUCGCAUAGGGAAAACAGGCGAUAAAUCAUUCAAGGUUCUGACCUAUCAGCUUUCGACGCUCAUGGUAUUGCCUUACCGUGGGCAUAGUCGGAUAACGGGGGAUUAGGGUUCGAUUCCGGAGAGGGAGCCUGAGAAACGGCUACCACAUCUAAGGAAGGCAGCAGGCGCGCAAAUUACCCAAUUCUAACAGCAUAAGAGAGGNAGUGACAAGAAAUAACAAUACAAGGCAGUUAAAAUGCUUUGUAAUUGGAAUGAUAGAAAUUUAAACACUUUUUAAAGUAUCAAUUGGAGGGCAAGUCUGGUGCCAGCAGCCGCGGUAAUUCCAGCUCCAAUAGCGUAUAUUAAAAUUGUUGCAGUUAAAAAGCUCGUAGUUGAAUUUCUGCUAAAAAUAACCGGUCUGCUUUUAAUAAAGGUGGUAUCUUGGUGUGUUUUUAGCAAUAAUGUCCUUUGAAAUGUUUUUUACUUCAUUGUAAUAAAUUAUUUUCAGGAUUUUUACUUUGAGAAAAUUAGAGUGUUUCUAGCAGGCUAACGCUUUGAAUACUGCA